UGGGGAAUAUUGCACAAUGGGGGAAACCCUGAUGCAGCGACGCCGCGUGAGCGAAGAAGGCUUUCGAGUCGUAAAGCUCUGUCCUAUGAGAAGAUAAUGACGGUAUCAUAGGAGGAAGCCCUGGCUAAAUACGUGCCAGCAGCCGCGGUAAUACGUAUGGGGCGAGCGUUGUCCGGAAUUAUUGGGCGUAAAGGGUACGUAGGUGGUUUUUUAAGUCAGGUGUCAAAGCGUGGAGCUUAACUCCAUUAAGCACUUGAAACUGAAAGACUUGAGUGAAGGAGAGGAAAGUGGAAUUCCUAGUGUAGCGGUGAAAUGCGCAGAUAUUAGGAGGAAUACCGGUGGCGAAGGCGACUUUCUGGCCAUAAUCUGACGCUGAGGUACGAAAGCGUGGGUAGCAAACAGG
rnacentral:rRNA from 1 species